GAUGAACGCUGGCGGCGUGCCUAAUACAUGCAAGUCGAGCGAACGGACGAGAAGCUUGCUUCUCUGAUGUUAGCGGCGGACGGGUGAGUAACACGUGGAUAACCUACCUAUAAGACUGGGAUAACUUCGGGAAACCGUAGCUAAUACCGGAUAAUAUUUUGAACCGCAUGGUUCAAAAGUGAAAGACGGUCUUGCUGUCACUUAUAGAUGGAUCCGCGCUGCAUUAGCUAGUUGGUAAGGUAACGGCUUACCAAGGCAACGAUGCAUAGCCGACCUGAGAGGGUGACCGCCCCCACUGGAUCUGAGACACGGUCCAGAGCCCAACGGGAGGCAGCAGUAGGAAAUCUUCCGGAAGGGGCGAGAGCCUGACGGAGCAAGGCCGCGUGAGUGAUGAAGGUCUUCGGAUCGUAAAACGCUGUUAUGAGGGAAGAACAUAUGUGUAAGUAACUGUGCACAUCUUGACGGUACCUAAGCAGAAAGCAACGGCUAACUACGU
rnacentral:rRNA from 1 species